UGACCUCUAGGGUAAUGGUAGCCCGCCACGCCUUGGACGUGGAUAUUCAAUGUUCGAAUCAUUGGGGGUCAG
rnacentral:tRNA from 1 species